UACGGAGGGGCUAGCGUUGUUCGGAAUUACUGGGCGUAAAGGGCGCGUAGGCGGCCACCGCAAGUCGACUGUGAAAUCUCCGGGCUUAACCCGGAGCGGUCAAGUGAUACUGUCGUGCUAGAGUGCGGAAGGGGCUACUGGAAUUCUCGGUGUAGCGGUGAAAUGCGUAGAUAUCGAGAGGGAAACACCUGCGGCGAAGGCGGGUAGCUGGGCCGACACUGACGCUGAUGCGCGAAAGCCAGGGGAGCGAACGGG
rnacentral:rRNA from 1 species